UACGAAGGGGGCUAGCGUUGCUCGGAAUCACUGGGCGUAAAGCGCACGUAGGCGGAUCGUUAAGUCAGGGGUGAAAUCCCCAGGCUCAACUUGGGAACUGCAUCCGAUACUGGAUGGCUUGAAUUCGGGAGAGGAUGCAGAAUUCCAGGUGUAGCGGUGAAAUGCGUAGAUAUCUGGAGGAAUACCGGUGGCGAAGGCGGCAUCCUGGACCGACAUUGACGCUGAGGAGCGAAAGCUAGGGGAGCAAACGGGGAU
rnacentral:rRNA from 1 species